GAUGAAGAACGUAGCGAAAUGCGAUAAGUAAUGUGAAUUUCAGAAUUCCGUGAAUCAUCGAAUCUUUGAACGCACAUUGCGCCCCCUGGUAUUCCGGGGGGCAUGCCUGUCCGAGCGUCAUUGCAACCCUCAAGCGCGGCUUGUGUGUUGGGCUUCGUCCCCCCGUGGACGUGCCCGAAAGGCAGUGGCGGCGUCCCGAAUGGUGCCCGAGCGUAUGGGAACUCUCUUCCGCUCGAACCGGCCCAUUCGGCGCUGGUCGAACCCCAAUUUUUUUUUACCGGUUGACCUCGGAUCAGGUAGGGAUACCCGCUGAACUUAAGCAUAUCAAUAAGCGGAGGA
rnacentral:misc_RNA from 1 species